rnacentral:rRNA from 1 species
GCAAGUCGAGCGAGCGGAACCACAGAUUUACUUCGGUAAUGACGUUGGGAAACCGUGCGGCGGAUGGGUGAGUAACACGUGGGGAACCUGCCCCUAAGUCUGGGAUACCAUUUGGAAACAGGUGCUAAUACCGGAUAAUAAAGCGGAUCGCAUGAUCAGCUUUUGAAAGGCGGCGUAAGCUGUCGCUAAGGGAUGGCCCCGCGGUGCAUUAGCUAGUUGGUAAGGUAACGGCUUACCAAGGCGACGAUGCAUAGCCGAGUUGAGAGACUGAUCGGCCACAUUGGGACUGAGACACGGCCCAAACUCCUAUGGGAGGCAGCAGUAGGGAAUCUUCCACAAUGGACGCAAGUCUGAUGGAGCAACGCCGCGUGAGUGAAGAAGGUUUUCGGAUCGUAAAGCUCUGUUGUUGGUGAAGAAGGAUAGAGGUAGUAACUGGCCUUUAUUUGACGGUAAUCAACCAGAAAGUCACGGCUAACUACGUGCCAGCAGCCGCGGUAAUACGUAGGUGGCAAGCGUUGUCCGGAUUUAUUGGGCGUAAAGCGAGCGCAGGCGGAAAAAUAAGUCUAAUGUGAAAGCCCUCGGCUUAACCGAGGAACUGCAUCGGAAACUGUUUUUCUUGAGUGCAGAAGAGGAGAGUGGAACUCCAUGUGUAGCGGUGGAAUGCGUAGAUAUAUGGAAGAACACCAGUGGCGAAGGCGGCUCUCUGGUCUGCAACUGACGCUGAGGCUCGAAAGCAUGGGUAGCGAACAGGAUUAGAUACCCUGGUAGUCCAUGCCGUAAACGAUGAGUGCUAAGUGUUGGGAGGU